rnacentral:lncRNA from 1 species
GUUUCAUUUAAAAAUCACACUAUUUUGUUCAUGACAGAAGAGUUAAAGGAACAUAUUCCAAAAUAACUGGCUGCAAAUUGAAUAAUUUUAUGCCCCCAAGUUCUUCUAAUCUACAGCUUUUAUUUCAUUUCCCUAUCAUUUCCUUCUCCACAGUUGCUGGAAAUUUCUGUUUUUUCCCCAGCAGAGGGUGCAAAAAUAUUAAACCUUGGAAGCACUGCAGAAAAGGGUAAACUUGAAAACCCUGAAAAAUAGAGGCAAAAAUAUUUGUUAACUGCUCAUGGCAUUGGACUUGAUCAUGAAGAAGGGAAAUGACAAGCACUGGUGCUCCGAGAAAAGAGACAAUUCAAUGGGACUCAAUCAGGAGAUUUUCAAGUACGUUCAACAUAAAACCAUCUUUAUCUCUUUUGGAUACAAACCACAGGUGUCCUUCUGGAUGAUAGUUUGGAAUAUGACAGGAAACAAUAAAAAAUGGGGAUGGUGUUGGACAGAAACUCAUUUGCAUUGGAAAUGAAACAUGAAAUGAUUUCUAGAAGCCUGCAACCUGAGGUCAGUCUCAGCACUUGUGGCGCU